GCUAGCAAACACAAUACAAAUAAACCUCACUCAGCUUCUAGCACUUGUCCAGUUGACUAGAUUUUUGUGUAACUAGAUUUUGUGUAAAUUUUAUGGGAAUGUUGAAGUCUUUUCUGUAACAGAACACGUCGACUGCUUUGGGUUCCAGGAACUUGAUAUCCGGACUAGUUUUCUGAAAACCAAUCGGCGGUCGAUAAAUAACAUUCUAGUACCUAUUUCUGUGAGGAAGUUCAAAUAAACUCUCUGUCAAAAUGUGCUGCGGCCCUUGCUACUCGUGUUGCGGACCCUGCGGAGGUUGCUGUGGACCUUGCGGUGGUUGCUGCGGACCCUGCGGUGGUUGCUACGGAGGGUGCUAUGGCUGUUGUGGACCUUGCGGAGGGUGCUGCGGAGGCUGCUGCGGUGGCUGUGGUCCCUGCUGUUAGACCCGUCUUCAGAACGAAAUCUAGGCACUAACUUUUGUUACAAAAAGUCACGGCAAACCCUAUGUACAUAUUUGUUUAUCAAAUUAUAUAGUAAUAGAAAUAUAUAAAUA